CUUUUGUGGGGUGCUCGAGUGGCGAACGGGUGAGUAACACGUGAGUAACCUGCCCUUGACUUUGGGAUAACUUCAGGAAACUGGGCUAAUACCGGAUAGGAGCUCCUGCUGCAUGGUGGGGGUUGGAAAGUUUCGGCGGUUGGGGAUGGACUCGCGGCUUAUCAGCUUGUUGGUGGGGUAGUGGCUUACCAAGGCUUUGACGGGUAGCCGGCCUGAGAGGGUGACCGGCCACAUUGGGACUGAGAUACGGCCCAG
rnacentral:rRNA from 1 species